rnacentral:rRNA from 1 species
UUGGAGGGCAAGUCUGGUGCCAGCAGCCGCGGUAAUUCCAGCUCCAAUAGCGUAUAUUAAAGUUGUUGCAGUUAAAAAGCUCGUAGUUGAAUUUCGGGACCAAUUUGUUGGUCGUGCCUCGGUACGUACUGGUAUUAUUGGUUUCUCCCUUCUGAAGAAUCUCGAUGCCAUUAAUUUGGUGUCGUGGGGAAUCAGGACUGUUACUUUGAAAAAAUUAGAGUGUUUAAAGCAAGCAUACGCUUGAAUACAUUAGCAUGGAAUAAUGAAAUAGGACGUUUGAUUCUAUUUUGUUGGUUUCUAGGAUCGACGUAAUGAUUAAUAGGGAUAGUUGGGGGCAUUAGUAUUCAAUUGUCAGAGGUGAAAUUCUUGGAUUUAUUGAAGACUAACUACUGCGAAAGCAUUUGCCAAGGAUGUUUUCAUUAAUCAAGAACGAAAGUUAGGGGAUCGAAGACGAUCAGAUACCGUCGUAGUCUUAACCAUAAACUAUGCCGACUAGGGAUCGGAUGAUGUUAAUUUUUUAAUGACUCAUUCGGCGCCUUACGGGAAAC